UUAUUCUACUCCCCGGACCAAACCAAACGCGGCUUCCUGCCAAAUUCUCUAGCUGUCUUGUAGUUCUCACAUCAUCAAGGACAAUGAGAACUUUCUUUUUGUACAAAAGGUUAACUAGAUCUUGAUCUCCUUCUCUCGAAACCUCUCCAACGCGAAGAAUGCAGUGUUCUUCAAAUUGGCUUCGGAUUUUCUUGCAAACAGUAGAGAUAUCUACCUGGCCUCCGGAAAGUGGAUAAUGACAGAAUUUGGAGUAUAUUGACCUUUCAUUCAAUAAAUUGAAGAAAUUGAAGAUCAAAUAGUACUUUUGCUGUUUUUUAUUUGGUAAGUUAUUUGAUAUGUUGAAUCUAUUUUUAUAUGUGUAUGUUGUUAAUUGUUUCUUUUCAUAUAAUAGAAUUCUAUGUGGACCUGAAAAUUUUUUGUAUUUAUAAUAGCUGUUUUUAGUUUUAUAUUAAGGUCCAUAUAUUUGACCUUGUUUAAAUUUGUUAUAUCAGCUUUGUGGUUUAUCCAAAGUAAUCUGUCAAUAGUAGAUCUCGUAUUUCGCUGAUUGUUUUUCUAAUUGUAUGAUAUGCAACAUUUUUUUCAAUGUUUGAAUUUGUGUUAAUAUGCAUUUAAUUUGAUGGAAUUUGAUAGUGUUUAACAUGGAGGAACAUCACAUGAAGGUGCCUUUGUGCAUCCAAAGUAUUGAUUUAAAAGGUUGUAACUGUAAACUUAGUUAUUUGUGUUUUAAAAAUUUUAUUUCCUAUGCCUUUUGUUAAUUAUAUAAAUUGAACAAAUUUAUUUUUAUUUUUAAUAUUUUAAGUACAACAAGCUGUUCAUCAUUUUUCACAUUCCUUCAUGGAUAUGCUAUAAACUGGAAGGAAAUGAUGGAGGUGGACGUAAUGAUGAUUGUAGCAGUUCUUUUGUUGAAAUAGGUGUCUAUGAAAGCAGUCUACAGAAAAAUAAUCGAAUAAGUUCUAGUGGUGAGGCCUGCAUUUUUUCCUAUUUUGAUUUUUUCUUAAUUUGUACAUGCUCUUCCAUUCUGGUUUAAUGUUUAAAUUAUUCCUGCAUAUUGAGCUGAAUUAUGCUCUUCUGUUAAAUCUUUUGCAAGUGUUUAUAAUACCUCAACAAACACAUUAACUAGUACCUCAUCUAACAGUAGAUGUUUCUCAUCCCGAAAAUCAGGUAAAAGGUGGAAGCGGUGGUUUA